GUAGAAAUUUACGUUUCAUCAGAUGUAGCCUAGUUGUUAGUGAUUUAAGACGUGUUCGACGAGGAGUUAAUAAAUGUACAGUGCGUUCUGUUUUAAACAUUCUUUUGGCUACUCGGUAAUACACUGAAAUUUGCCAUUUUUUCGUACCAAUCUGAGGGACACUUUUUCACGACACACAGGAUUGUUUGAAAGUUGAUUUUUCACUAGACGUCAUUUGAAGGUUCAGUUCCUAUCCUCAUCCCCCAGUCCUACAGUGUGCAAAAAUAGAAAGUUGAAAAAAUCUGUGCUAUCCUGCACAAUGCCAGAUUCAUUUAGGACUACUCCAUAUUAAAAUGCUCAGAGGAAUUUUGCUUAAGGAAAUUUGCAGCUGUGGACUUUAUUUAGAUGACUCUUGUAUUGGAAAUAUUUUCCUUCUUCUUGGAACAAAAAACAUAGGAUGUCUUGAUGCCAACGAAGUGUCAUUGGAAAGAUUGUAAAAAGAUUUUUAGCAGGAAAACCUAAAGCUGGAGGAUGAUACAUUUGUUUCCUUUUACUAGUGUUUUAUAACAAAUGGUAAAUUGGUAAAAUGAAACAACACAUGACCUAUUACUUAAGAUCAAUUUUUCCCACAAGUGGAGAUUUAUUCCACAAUCUUCAGCUUUCCAUGCAGACACCCAUCCACAGAGCCAUGGGUGAUAGAUGAUAUUCACAUCGGGCACGACUGUGUUGUAAAUUGGUAUCACUUUUACAACCAAACAGACAGCAGGUUUAGAUCACGUGUCUGACUAUAGGGGGUAUUCGUUUCCUUGACAUAAAAAGAACGGAAAUUUUUGGCAUAAGCAAGUCAUCCGCAUCCAAACAGAUCAAACGCACGAGGUAUUCCGCCUCGUCCAGCAACUUAACAUCCAGCAACGCAUCCAUCAACAGAAUGUAUUAAAGAGGAAAGUAAUGACCAAAUGCUGACUGGACGAUUUCCAUGCAAGAUGAAUGUUAAAAUCCAAGGAUAUCUGGAGAACCAUUAGCUGAAUACAAUGAAUACUAUCAGUUCUCCAGAACAAGAAGUUAAUAAUCAUACUGAAUCAAAAGAGGUACAUACUUGAACGAGAUUUUAAAACGAUAACAGCUGGAAGGACAUGUGGAAAUUUCAAAGGACGCUACAUGCACGUUACCUUUAGUCGCUGAUUCAUCUCGAAGAUAAAAUAUUAAAAUUCUUAUAAAUUGAAGUGCAUAUCUGGGCUCCCUUCUUUUCUGUGGCCCCGUUUCCCCUUGACUUGUGAUAAGCCCGUAGGGGGUCAUGCCCCUACUGUGAUCAGCAGCAAA